rnacentral:rRNA from 1 species
UACGGAGGGGGCUAGCGUUGUUCGGAAUUACUGGGCGUAAAGCGCACGUAGGCGGCUUUGUAAGUUAGAGGUGAAAGCCCGGGGCUCAACUCCGGAAUUGCCUUUAAGACUGCAUCGCUAGAAUUGUGGAGAGGUAAGUGGAAUUCCGAGUGUAGAGGUGAAAUUCGAUAGAUAUUCGGAAGAACACCAGUGGCGAAGGACGACUUACUG